rnacentral:tRNA from 1 species
AUCGGUGGUUCAGUGGGAGAAUGCUCGCCUGCUACGCGGGCGGCCCUGGUUCGAUUCCCGGCCGAU